rnacentral:ncRNA from 1 species
UGUCUCCUCCAUGUCUCCUCCUGAUAUGGAUUCAGCCCGCCAAGCUAGGCGGGCUUUUUUUU